AAAUAAACUGUACUCAAGUAAAAGUAAAAAGUAGCCACUUAAAUACACUACUCACCUAUUAGAGUAUUAAGCAAAAAAAACUACUAAAGUACCGAGUAAUUGUGCAUCUGAUUGGUGAAACGGAGUCAAACGUCACCAGUGACUGUAUUUGAUUGGUGAAACGCAGGCAUGCAUAGAUCCUACUUUGAAGAUGUGUGCUGCUUUACGAGGCGGUGCCAGCGUGACGAAGAGGAGCACGCCCAUUAAUCUCCUCCUGGCUGUGCAGACAUUCCGGGAGGGCCGCGCUGAUCACGCCAUCAGUGGCGAUAUGAGGCUGCUGGUAGAAGGAGCACAAUGCUGAGGGAUCAAUGGAACCUUGGCGGAGGUCAGCCUGACAUGAAAUAAGCUUCUGUCAUGGCGGCCCAUUUCUGUGUGUGUGUGGAAAGUUAGCU